rnacentral:misc_RNA from 1 species
CCGUUGGGGCCUCGGCCUCAAUCAAGAUACCACCCCUUGCAUUUUGAGUACCUUCUGUUUCCUCGGCGGGCCCGCCCGCCAACGGGGACCACACCAAACCCUUCUGUAGUUGCAGUGAAUGUCUGAAAACAAAAAAAAAAUCA